GACGAACGCUGGCGGCGUGCCUAAUACAUGCAAGUAGAACGCUGAAGACUUUAGCUUGCUAAAGUUGGAAGAGUUGCGAACGGGUGAGUAACGCGUAGGUAACCUGCCUACUAGCGGGGGAUAACUAUUGGAAACGAUAGCUAAUACCGCAUAACAGCCUUUUACCAAUGUUAGAUGCUUGAAAGGAGCAAUUGCUUCACUAGUAGAUGGACCUGCGUUGUAUUUGCUAGUUGGUGAGGUAACGGCUCACCAAGGCGACGAUACAUAGCCGACCUGAGAGGGUGAUCGGCCACACUGGGACUGGGACACGGCCCAGACUCCUACGGGAGGCAGCAGUAGGGAAUCUUCGGCAAUGGGGGCAACCCUGACCGAGCAACGCCGCGUGAGUGAAGAAGGUUUUCGGAUCGUAAAGCUCUGUUGUAAGAGAAGAACGUGUGUGAGAGUGGAAAGUUCACACAGUGACGGUAACUUACCAGAAAGGGACGGCUAACUACGUGCCAGCAGCCGCCGUAA
rnacentral:rRNA from 1 species